GACGAACGCUGGCGGCGUGCCUAACACAUGCAAGUCGAACGAGGUCCAUCCUUCGGGAGAAGACCUAGCGGCGAACGGGGCGAGUAACACGUGAAGAACCUGCCCCGAAGACCGGGAUAACCCUCCGAAAGGAGAGCUAAUACCGGAUACCCCACCGAACCGCAUGGUUUGGUGAGGAAAUGGAUUCCGCUUCGGGAGGGCUUCGCGGCCUAUCAGCUAGUUGGUGGGGUAACGGCCCACCAAGGCAUCGACGGGUAGCUGGGUCUGAGAGGACGAUCAGCCACACUGGGACUGAGACACGGCCCAGACUCCUACGGGAGGCAGCAGUGGGGAAUCUUGCGCAAUGGGCGAAAGCCUGACGCAGCAACGCCGCGUGGGGGAUGAAGGCUCUCGGGUUGUAAACCCCUUUCAGCAGGGACGAAUCAAGACGGUACCUGCAGAAGAAGCCCCGGCUAACUACGUGCCAGCAG
rnacentral:rRNA from 1 species